GGCUUAGAGUUUGAUCAUGGCUCAGGAUGAACGCUGGCGGCGUGCCUAACACAUGCAAGUCAAACGAAGCACCUUGGGAGAUUCUUCGGAUGAUCUUAUGGUGACUGAGUGGCGGACGGGUGAGUAACGCGUGGGUAACCUGCCCUGUACAGGGGGACAACAGCUAGAAAUGGCUGCUAAUACCGCAUAAGCGCACAGGAAGACAUCUUCCGGUGUGAAAAACUCCGGUGGUACAGGAUGGGCCCGCGUCUGAUUAGCUUGUUGGCGGGGUAACGGCCCACCAAGGCGACGAUCAGUAGCCGGUCUGAGAGGAUGAACGGCCACAUUGGAACUGAGACACGGUCCAAACUCCUACGGGAGGCAGCAGUGGGGAAUAUUGCACAAUGGGGGGAACCCUGAUGCAGCAACGCCGCGUGAGUGAAGAAGUAUUUCGGUAUGUAAAGCUCUAUCAGCAGGGAAGAUGAUGACGGUACCUGACUAAGAAGCUCCGGCUAAAUACGUGCCAGCAGCCGCGGUAAUACGUAUGGAGCAAGCGUUAUCCGGAUUUACUGGGUGUAAAGGGUGCGUAGGCGGCAGGGCAAGUCAGAUGUGAAAGACCGGGGCUUAACUCCGGGGCUGCAUUUGAAACUGCUUUGCUUGAGUCCGGGAGAGGCAGGCGGAAUUCCUAGUGUAGCGGUGAAAUGCGUAGAUAUUAGGAGGAACACCAGUGGCGAAGGCGGCCUGCUGGACCGGAACUGACGCUGAGGCACGAAAGCGUGGNGGAGCAACAGGAUUAGAUACCCUGGUAGUCCACGCCGUAAACGAUGAAUACUAGGUGUCGGGGCCGCAGAGGCUCCGGUGCCGCAGCCAACGCAGUAAGUAUUCCACCUGGGGAGU
rnacentral:rRNA from 1 species